rnacentral:rRNA from 1 species
AUUGAACGCUGGCGGCAGGCCUAACACAUGCAAGUCGAGCGGAUGAAGGGAGCUUGCUCCUGGAUUCAGCGGCGGACGGGCGAGUAAUGCCUAGGAAUCUACCUGGUAGUGGGGGAUAACGUCCGGAAACGGGCGCUAAUACCGCAUACGUCCUGAGGGAGAAAGUGGGGGAUCUUCGGACCUCACGCUAUCAGAUGAGCCUAGGUCGGAUUAGCUAGUUGGUGGGGUAAAGGCCUACCAAGGCGACGAUCCGUAACUGGUCUGAGAGGAUGAUCAGUCACACUGGAACUGAGACACGGUCCAGACUCCUACGGGAGGCAGCAGUGGGGAAUAUUGGACAAUGGGCGAAAGCCUGAUCCAGCCAUGCCGCGUGUGUGAAGAAGGUCUUCGGAUUGUAAAGCACUUUAAGUUGGGAGGAAGGGCAGUAAGUUAAUCCCUUGCUGUUUUGACGUUACCAACAGAAUAAGCACCGGCUAACUUCGUG